UUGGAGGGCAAGUCUGGUGCCAGCAGCCGCGGUAAUUCCAGCUCCAAUAGCGUAUAUUAAAGUUGUUGCAGUUAAAAAGCUCGUAGUUGAAUUUCGGGACCAGUGGGUUGGUCGUACCUCUGGUACGUACUGGCUUUACCGGUUCCUCCCUUCUGAAGAACCACGAUGUCAUUAAUUUGGUGUUGUGGGAAAUCAGGACUGUUACUGUGAAAAAAUUAGAGUGUUUAAAGCAGGCUUAAGCUUGAAUACAUUAGCAUGGAAUAAUGAAAUAGGACGUUUGAUCUCAUUUUGUUGGUUUCUAGGAUCGACGUAAUGAUUAAUAGGGAUAGUUGGGGGCAUUAGUAUUCAAUUGUCAGAGGUGAAAUUCUUGGAUUUAUUGAAGACUAACUACUGCGAAAGCAUUUGCCAAGGAUGUUUUCAUUAAUCAAGAACGAAAGUUAGGGGAUCGAAGACGAUCAGAUACCGUCGUAGUCUUAACCAUAAACUAUGCCGACUAGGGAUCGGAUGAUGUUAAUUUUUAAUGACUCAUUCGGCGCCUUACGGGAAAC
rnacentral:rRNA from 1 species